rnacentral:rRNA from 1 species
UACAGAGGGUGCUAGCGUUGUUCGGAAUCAUUGGGCGUAAAGGGCGUGUAGGCGGUUUGUUAAGUCAUGUGUGAAAGCCCCCGGCUCAACCGGGGAGGGUCAUUGGAAACUGGGAAACUUGAGUGCAGAAGAGGAAAGUGGAAUUCCAAGUGUAGCGGUGAAAUGCGUAGAGAUUUGGAGGAACACCAGUGGCGAAGGCGACUUUCUGGUCUGUAACUGACGCUGAGGCGCGAAAGCGUGGGGAGCAAACAGG